AGUCCUGGGUGCGGCUGCAGCUUAGGAACAUCUGUUGAACAAGAAGAAAAGUUACAAGGAGGCAGGAUGUAACCCAGGAAACCUCCCUGUCCUCAGAAGCGAGUGAGGAAAACAAAGCUCCAGAAGUCUUGUACCAAAUUCAUGCUACUUAUUCUGCAAACGACAGCUUUGUGCACUUACAGAGAAGGAGAAUACUAAGGCACCUAUCUCAUUCUGCACCCUGUGGGAACGUGCCGAUAGAGAAACAGACUUGGCGGAGGUAGGUCAGAAAGAACUAUGAUCUCAUGGUCUGAGAAGCAGCAGGCCGAUCUCCAAGGGGAAAGAGCCUUCUGGCUCAGACACUAUGCUCACCUUCCACUGUUCCUUGCAGGAUGUACAGGGCGCAGAUUUUCGGAUUGUCAUAGUAGCCCUAGAGAAAGUGAAGGUGGAAAUCAGUGCUGCAGCAUAAUUCAAGAACCAAUCUCCCCACCUACUAUCACCUUCCCUACCCCCAGCACACAGCUGCAUCACGUGGCUGGGAAAGAAAAGGGAAAAGGAAGAUCAAGGCUCCGGCCAGCAAGGCCUCGUUACCUUUACAAACUCAAUAUGAAGCUUUCCUGUGAACGUGGAAACCUCUCCCUGGACACUCAGUUUUCCCUUUUUGAUACUCAUGGGAAUGAUCUCGUCGUGAGCCGUGCUAUGUCCAACUCUGUCAAAAAUGUCCAA